UAGGGAAUAUUGGACAAUGGGCGCAAGCCUGAUCCAGCAAUGCCGCGUGUGUGAAGAAGGCCUUCGGGUUGUAAAGCACUUUUAUCAGGAGCGAAACGCUGUCGGCUAAUACCCGGCGGAACUGACGGUACCUGAGGAAUAAGCACCGGCUAACUUCGUGCCAGCAGCCGCGGUAAUACGAAGGGUGCAAGCGUUAAUCGGAAUUACUGGGCGUAAAGCGUGCGUAGGCGGGGACUUAAGUCUGCUGUGAAAUCCCCGGGCUCAACCUGGGGAUGGCAGUGGAUACUGGGUCGCUAGAGUGUUAUAGAGGAUGGUGGAAUUCCCGGUGUAGCGGUGAAAUGCGUAGAGGUCGGGGGGAACAUCAGUGGCGAAGGCGGCCAUCUGGAUCAACGCUGACGCUGAGGCACGAAAGCGUGGGGAGC
rnacentral:rRNA from 1 species